AAUGGGGCAUGUACCGGUCGUUAAAGUCAGUGAGCAAGCUGGCACCUUGCAUACUGCUCCCAUGGAGGGAAUGAACAAUUCGACUGGUGAUUCCUGCUCUGGGGUUUCUCCUGAAGUUAAGCUGGGAGAGGCUGUGGGGGUUUUAUUUCAGGCUAUUCAGGAUAAAGCUGGAAGACCAGCUAUGGCUUGGUUGCAAGAUAGUUUCAAGUUGUAAAAUUCAC